GAGAGCCCGGUGCGGUGAGAGCCGCACACCGGGUUCGGCGAGCGGCACGGAGAAACGGACCGAUGGCAACACCGGCACCGCGCUCCGUGCUGACUCAAC
rnacentral:ncRNA from 1 species